UGGGAUUACAGGCGUGAGGCACCACGCCUGGCCAUUUUUUUUUUUUUUCCAAACCAGGAGACAUUUGAGUCUGAGACAGAAAAGAAAGAAAACACUUUAUUUGUAAAGAGAAAAUGGAACUUAGUACAUAUGCCAAAAUAAAUCUGUAACGCAGGCCACUUCUCUGGGCCCCAUCUUGAGUAGGUUAAAGGGUCACCUUAGAGACUAGAAACACAAUUAAGAGGCACAAAUCCACACAGAAAAUAUGCAUAUUUUGUCUCCUUUCCCCCCAAAACAAGCUGCAUAUACUUGUGUAAACUUGUUGAUUUGUAAAACAUGUCUAGUACUGCAGACAAAUGUGUGGGAUGAAAGGAAAUAAAAGCCAUGAAAACAGGGCCAGGUGGAAUAAGUUCUCCUAGCUCAGAAGGAUCUCAACCUCUUGCAAGUUACUUUUCACUUUUAAGGGCCCUUAAAGAAGCAUUUGCUUAGCUCUGUAUCCAGGCCAUCUCUCCCUCCCCGAAGAGCAACAGACCAGCAACUGACAUUAAGGUCACAUGGGUGGGUGGGGAGUAGAAUUGCGGGGGUGACAGUUCCAGCCAAUCCAGACAACGAAUCAUUGUUUGGAGGAACCAGAGCCUCAAAGGGUGAGUGCACUGACUAGGGCUGGCUCUCCAUCUGUUCACACACUUGUUGAGUGCCUACUCUAUGCCAAAGCACUGUGUUUUGGUGCCCUGGGGAACACAAAAUUGGGAUAGCUCCUGCCCUCAGGGCUUAAUAAAGUAGCUCUCAGUCAAGGGUUAGAGCAAGGGUUG
rnacentral:lncRNA from 10 species